rnacentral:rRNA from 1 species
GACGAACGCUGGCGGCGUGCCUAAUACAUGCAAGUUGAGCGCUGAAGGUUGGUACUUGUACCAACUGGAUGAGCAGCGAACGGGUGAGUAACGCGUGGGGAAUCUGCCUUUGAGCGGGGGACAACAUUUGGAAACGAAUGCUAAUACCGCAUAAAAACUUUAAACACAAGUUUUAAGUUUGAAGGAUGCAAUUGCAUCACUCAAGGAUGAUCCCGCGUUGUAUUAGCUAGUUGGUGAGGUAAAGGCUCACCAAGGCGAUGAUACAUAGCCGACCUGAGAGGGUGAUCGGCCACAUUGGGACUGAGACACGGCCCAAACUCCUACGGGAGGCAGCAGUAGGGAAUCUUCGGCAAUGGACGAAAGUCUGACCGAGCAACGCCGCGUGAGUGAAGAAGGUUUUCGGAUCGUAAAACUCUGUUGGUAGAGAAGAACGUUGGUGAGAGUGGAAAGCUCAUCAAGUGACGGUAACUACCCAGAAAGGGACGGCUAACUACGUG